rnacentral:rRNA from 1 species
AUGAACGCUAGCGACAGGCUUAACACAUGCAAGUCGAGGGGCAGCACAGGUAGCAAUACCGGGUGGCGACCGGCGCACGGGUGAGUAACGCGUAUGCAACUUACCUAUCAGAGGGGGAUAACCCGGCGAAAGUCGGACUAAUACCGCAUGAAGCAGGGGCCCCGCAUGGGGAUAUUUGCUAAAGAUUUAUCGCUGAUAGAUAGGCAUGCGUUCCAUUAGGCAGUUGGCGGGGUAACGGCCCACCAAACCGACGAUGGAUAGGGGUUCUGAGAGGAAGGUCCCCCACAUUGGUACUGAGACACGGACCAAACUCCUACGGGAGGCAGCAGUGAGGAAUAUUGGUCAAUGGGCGCGAGCCUGAACCAGCCAAGUCGCGUGAGGGAUGAAGGUUCUAUGGAUCGUAAACCUCUUUUAUAAGGGAAUAAAGUGCGGGACGUGUCCCGUUUUGUAUGUACCUUAUGAAUAAGGAUCGGCUAACUCCGUGCCAGCAGCCGCGGUAAUACGGAGGAUCCGAGCGUUAUCCGGAUUUAUUGGGUUUAAAGGGUGCGUAGGCGGCCUUUUAAGUCAGCGGUGAAAGUCUGUGGCUCAACCAUAGAAUUGCCGUUGAAACUGGGGGGCUUGAGUAUGUUUGAGGCAGGCGGAAUGCGUGGUGUAGCGGUGAAAUGCUUAGAUAUCACGCAGAACCCCGAUUGCGAAGGCAGCCUGCCAAGCCAUGACUGACGCUGAUGCACGAAAGCGUGGGGAUCAAACAGGAUUAGAUACCCUGGUAGUCCACGCAGUAAACGAUGAUCACUAGCUGUUUGCGAUACACUGUAAGCGGCACAGCGAAAGCGUUAAGUGAUCCACCUGGGGAGUACGCCGGCAACGGUGAAACUCAAAGGAAUUGACGGGGGCCCGCACAAGCGGAGGAACAUGUGGUUUAAUUCGAUGAUACGCGAGGAACCUUACCCGGGUUUGAACGCAUUCGGACCGAGGUGGAAACACCUUUUCUAGCAAUAGCCGUUUGCGAGGUGCUGCAUGGUUGUCGUCAGCUCGUGCCGUGAGGUGUCGGCUUAAGUGCCAUAACGAGCGCAACCCUUGCCACUAGUUACUAACAGGUAAAGCUGAGGACUCUGGUGGGACUGCCAGCGUAAGCUGCGAGGAAGGCGGGGAUGACGUCAAAUCAGCACGGCCCUUACAUCCGGGGCGACACACGUGUUACAAUGGCGUGGACAAAGGGAAGCCACCUGGCGACAGGGAGCGAAUCCCCAAACCACGUCUCAGUUCGGAUCGGAGUCUGCAACCCGACUCCGUGAAGCUGGAUUCGCUAGUAAUCGCGCAUCAGCCAUGGCGCGGUGAAUACGUUCCCGGGCCUUGUACACACCGCCCGUCAAGCCAUGGGAGCCGGGGGUACCUGAAGUCCGUAACCGCGAGGAUCGGCCUAGGGUAAAACUGGUGACUGGGGCU